GGAAUUUCUACAUUAUUAUUAUGGCGCGUUUGGUUCAAGUUAUAUAAUAUUACAGAGUAUUUUAUUUUAUCCAAGUAUCUUAGAUUUUUAAAUGAAAUUACAACUUAUGUUAUAUUAGCGCGUUUAGUUUAAUACAGUAAUGUAAUGCUGGAUUGUAGUGUUUAUAGUAUUACUAUGUUUGGUUUUGUUUAUAAAAUUCAAUAAUCUAGACAAUAAAAUAUAUUAAAAAAUUUAAUUUUUUAAAUUUUAAAUUUUAAAUUUUAAAUUUGAACAAAAGUAUAAAUUUAAUAUUUUAAUUUAAAAUAUAAAUAUAAAAUUUAUAAAUUUAAAAUAUAAAAUAUAAAAAUAAAUAUAAAUAUAAAAUUAAAAAUUAAAAAUCUAAAUUUAAAAUUCAGAAAUUAAAAUACAAAUUUGAAUUUUAAAAUUUAAAA
rnacentral:lncRNA from 1 species